rnacentral:rRNA from 1 species
AUUGAACGCUGGCGGCAGGCUUAACACAUGCAAGUCGAGCGGGGGAAGGUAGCUUGCUACCGGACCUAGCGGCGGACGGGUGAGUAAUGCUUAGGAAUCUGCCUAUUAGUGGGGGACAACAUCUCGAAAGGGAUGCUAAUACCGCAUACGUCCUACGGGAGAAAGCAGGGGAUCUUCGGACCUUGCGCUAAUAGAUGAGCCUAAGUCGGAUUAGCUAGUUGGUGGGGUAAAGGCCUACCAAGGCGACGAUCUGUAGCGGGUCUGAGAGGAUGAUCCGCCAAACUGGGACUGAGACACGGCCCGGGCUCCUACGGGAGGCAGCAGGGGGGAAUAUUGGACAAUGGGGGGAACCCUGAUCCAGCCAUGCCGCGUGUGUGAAGAAGGCCUUAUGGUUGUAAAGCACUUUAAGCGAGGAGGAGGCUACUCUAGUUAAUACCUAGGGAUAGUGGACGUUACUCGCAGAAUUAGCACUGGCUAACUCUGUGCCAGCAGCAGCCGCCG